rnacentral:rRNA from 1 species
UGCCAGCAGCCGCGGUAAUACGAGAGUGGCAAGCGUUACUCGGAAUUAUUGGGUGUAAAGGGUAAGUAGGCGGUUUAACAAGCGAGGGGUGAAAUCUUCCGACUUAAUCGGAAAACUGCCUUUCGAACUGUUAGACUUGAGGUUGGAAGAGGGAAACGGAAUUAGCAGUGUAAGGGUGAAAUCUGUAGAUAUUGCUAAGAACACCAGCGGCGAAGGCGGUUUCCUGGUCCAAACCUGACGCUAAACUACGAAAGCUAGGGUAGCAAACGGAAUUAGAUA